rnacentral:rRNA from 1 species
GACCUCGGAUCAGGUAGGAGUUACCCGCUGAA